AACGAACGCUGGCGGCGUGCCUAACACAUGCAAGUCGUGCGAGAAAGUUCCUUCGGGAGCGAGUACAGCGGCGCACGGGUGAGUAACACGUAGGUAAUCUGCCCUCGAGCUCGGAAUAACCUACCGAAAGGUGGGCUAAUACCGGAUAUGACCACGGAAGUUUCGGCUUCUGCGGUGAAAGGUGGCCUCUACUUGUAAGCUACCACUCAAGGAUGAGCCUGCGUACCAUUAGCUAGUUGGUGGGGUAAUGGCUCACCAAGGCUAUGAUGGUUAGCUGGUCUGGGAGGAUGGCCAGCCACACUGGGACUGAGACACGGCCCAGACUCCUACGGGAGGCAGCAGUGGGGAAUUUUGGACAAUGGACGCAAGUCUGAUCCAGCCAUGCCGCGUGCGGGAAGAAGGCCUUCGGGUUGUAAACCGCUUUUGUCAGAGAAGAAAUCUUCUGGGUUAAUACCUCGGGAGGAUGACGGUAUCUGAAGAAUAAGCACCGGCUAACUACGUGCCAGCAGCCGCCGUAACAC
rnacentral:rRNA from 1 species